rnacentral:tmRNA from 1 species
GGGGGCGCACUGGUUUCGACGGGGUCAUGGAUCCCGGUGAAGCGGGUAGAGGAUUCUCGUUGGCCUCUUUAAAAAACGAGAAAAACUUAUAGUUGCCAAACAACCGCAACUCGCAGCAGCUUAAGUAAGCUAUUGCCGCCGGUCCGCUCGAUCUGUGGGGCGGGGAGCCGGCGCCGUAACACAGACCUUACCUGUCGGAGGUUAAACAGGUAAACAGACAGGCUCAAGCUUUGUGGUCUGCUCUGAACUGAUGAAGCUACCUCGUUUCCGAGCCUGCCGACUGGGCGCUUAAACGGGGGAAUCUAAAAGCAGCGGCUGCACCCGGAGAAACACCGGAGGAUGUGGUUUCGGACAGGAGUUCGACUCUCCUCGCCUCCACCA